CUUGCUCUCGGGUGACGAGCGGCGGACGGGUGAGUAAUGUCUGGGAAACUGCCUGAUGGAGGGGGAUAACUACUGGAAACGGUAGCUAAUACCGCAUAACGUCGCAAGACCAAAGUGGGGGACCUUCGGGCCUCAUGCCAUCAGAUGUGCCCAGAUGGGAUUAGCUAGUAGGUGGGGUAAUGGCUCACCUAGGCGACGAUCCCUAGCUGGUCUGAGAGGAUGACCAGCCACACUGGAACUGAGACACGGUCCAGACUCCUACGGGAGGCAGCAGUGGGGAAUAUUGCACAAUGGGCGCAAGCCUGAUGCAGCCAUGCCGCGUGUAUGAAGAAGGCCUUCGGGUUGUAAAGUACUUUCAGCGAGGAGGAAGGCGUUAAGGUUAAUAACCUUAGCGAUUGACGUUACUCGCAGAAGAAGCACCGGCUAACUCCGUGCCAGCAGCCGCGGUAAUACGGAGGGUGCAAGCGUUAAUCGGAAUUACUGGGCGUAAAGCGCACGCAGGCGGUCUGUCAAGUCGGAUGUGAAAUCCCCGGGCUCAACCUGGGAACUGCAUUCGAAACUGGCAGGCUAGAGUCUUGUAGAGGGGGGUAGAAUUCCAGGUGUAGCGGUGAAAUGCGUAGAGAUCUGGAGGAAUACCGGUGGCGAAGGCGGCCCCCUGGACAAAGACUGACGCUCAGGUGCGAAAGCGUGGGGAGCAAACAGGAUUAGAUACCCUGGUAGUCCACGCCGUAAACGAUGUCGACUUGGAGGUUGUGCCCUUGAGGCGUGGCUUCCGGAGCUAACGCGUUAAGUCGACCGCCUGGGGAGUACGGCCGCAAGGUUAAAACUCAAAUGAAUUGACGGGGGCCCGCACAAGCGGUGGAGCAUGUGGUUUAAUUCGAUGCAACGCGAAGAACCUUACCUACUCUUGACAUCCAGAGAACUUAGCAGAGAUGCUUUGGUGCCUUCGGGAACUCUGAGACAGGUGCUGCAUGGCUGUCGUCAGCUCGUGUUGUGAAAUGUUGGGUUAAGUCCCGCAACGAGCGCAACCCUUAUCCUUUGUUGCCAGCGGUUAGGCCGGGAACUCAAAGGAGACUGCCAGUGAUAAACUGGAGGAAGGUGGGGAUGACGUCAAGUCAUCAUGGCCCUUACGAGUAGGGCUACACACGUGCUACAAUGGCAUAUACAAAGAGAAGCGACCUCGCGAGAGCAAGCGGACCUCAUAAAGUAUGUCGUAGUCCGGAUUGGAGUCUGCAACUCGACUCCAUGAAGUCGGAAUCGCUAGUAAUCGUAGAUCAGAAUGCUACGGUGAAUACGUUCCCGGGCCUUGUACACACCGCCCGUCACACCAUGGGAGUGGGUUGCAAAAGAAGUAGGUAGCUUAACCUUCGGGAGGGCGCUUACCACUUUGUGAUUCAUGACUGGGGUGAAGUCGUAACAAGGUA
rnacentral:rRNA from 2 species